CACUUUCUACUUGUCGAAUUCUCUUCUAACCCUUUUUCUUUUCAUACACUCUCAUAAUUGGAGGUCUCGCAGAACAUAAAUACCGAUUUCUUUGACAUCCUCAAAGCAAACUAAUCUAGUCCAUUGCUCUUUUUAUUUGCAUAUAUGUUAUAUUUAGAUUUGGCCUUGAAGAAAUAAAAGCUCCAUUGCCCUGUUUGAUUCAUUGCAAUGGUUACAGACCCAUUGUUGGUAGCAGAGGAUUCUUAGCCGACCCUAGCAAACAAGUCAAAUAUGUUGGCCAUCUGACCCUCCCAAAAUCAUUGCAUCACAAGCAUACUAAAGAGAUGGCCUCUUAGGGAAGUGCAUUCUUGACACCACAUUGUUCUCAGGCCAAUACUCUUGAGUCUGAUAUGGCAAUGGAGUGGGUACUAUGGCAAGAGCGGUCAGAUUUGUGUUGAAAAAAGUUGUAUGAGGUUUAUGUGCAGUGACAACAGAGGAGUCAAAGUUUGAUGAUAACGGUAAAGAACUAUGCAUUCAUUUGCAUUUUGUUUUAAGUUGCACGGACUGAAACUUAUUGAUAGUCAAUUUUUAAUUUGAAACGAGUAUCUAUGCAAGCUUUUAGAAGGAAUUUAUCCAUUCCUUCCAUCUUCGGAUUUCAUAGUCUAUGGUUUUAGAGCGAGCCUGUGAUGAU